GACGAACCGUGCGAACGUUAUUCGGAAUCACUGGGCUUAAAGCGCGUGUAGGCGGGUCGGAACGUCGGUCGCUGAAAUCCCCCGGCUCAACCGGGGAAGGGGCGCCGAUACGGCCGGCCUCGAGGGACGUAGGGGGGGCUGGAACUUCCGGUGGAGCGGUGAAAUGCGUUGAGAUCGGAAGGAACGCCCGUGGCGAAAGCGAGCCCCUGGACGUCUACUGACGGCUGACGACGCGAAAGCCCAGGGGAGCCGAACGGGG
rnacentral:rRNA from 1 species